GGAAAGUUUGCUGUGAGCCUGAUUUUGAAAAACCGUGGGGACUUGACUAGGAUGGGUUCUGCCCGUAUGAAGUUCGGCAGCAGGACGCAGCUGUGCCGCCGCUGCUGGUGCCCCGUUCUGCCCAGCUCCACCUUAAAGCCUGGAUACCCAACCGAAGGGCUGCAGACAGGGAGCAGCUGGCCCCAUUCGCCAACCAGAUUCCCUCCUCCCCUCGCAAGGUUCACUAGUGACAUUCAGCCCUGUUCGACUCUGGUCUCCCCACUGUUUGAGUAGGAAUCACCAACCUCAACCUUGUGGAGUUCGAGCCCGGAACUUUCCUGCUGCUGGAGGAGGGGUCCAGCGCACAGGGCUUCUCAGCAUCCACAGGACCUGUAUUUCUUCAUCUGAAUUUAGAGUCAUUCUUGUUUAUUCCUUUGUUUUAUCAAGAACAACCACUGAGCCUUCUGAGCUCAUUUAACACCCCCCACCCCCGUGUGAGGAAGGCUACCACGGUUCUGCAAAGCCCACGUUUUGGUUUCCUCCACCUGUUCCAGACAAGGACUUAAAGCAGUGUGCAGAGAAACACAGCCACAGCAGUAGCACAAGCUGGAGAAGAGCAGACCAGAAACAUCACAGUGGAACACAGAACGAACCUGGGAAGUGAGUCUUACACUCAACAAAGUCCUGAGCAUUUCCUUAGCAAGGCCACACACUUGGCUGUAACGCUUCUGUCAAGGAAAUAUGAGGGGUGGCACCAAUCAUAGCGUCCACAUGUUAAAAACCGAACAAUUAAAGCUACAGCUAAUUUUUAAGACUACUAGCAAUUUCUUCCAUGGGCCCCUCAGAAGAAGACAAUGUGUAAAGGCCGCAGAGCUCUCACUAGCCAGCUCUUUGUAAUAGUACUAACCUCUGUAGCGAUAUUUUGUCCCAACAACCUUUGAUCUGAUCUGAUGGCAUCUCAGGAAACAAAGCUUUAGGAAAACAAGGAGGCAGUGAGACACUUCAGACACACCAUCUGAUACUGGGUUGAUCCCAAGGAAUGGACAGGAAUGGAUGACCUUAACAUCCUACUGGGGUACCUUCUCAAGUUGGAGUUUCUCCUCUGAGUUUGUGAUGUACGGGGUGACAUUCCAGAUGAUUUUGUACUCUCUGGCAGGUACAUGGAGUGUACUGAUAAUGUGUUACUUGUGAAGUGAGAAACUAUAUGGCCAUCCUGGCAGGAAUGGCAUCCUCUUAGAGCAGAGCUGUGUCCGGCGUGGACUUUCCAUAAAGGGUUCCCAGGCACCAGUCUCUG
rnacentral:lncRNA from 1 species